UUCUGUCCAGCUCGGACGACGGGACGGUCAAACUCUGGGACCUGAAGACCGGAGCCUGGCUGAGGGACGUGGUGGCGCUGCAGAGCCGAGGAUCAGGGGGCGUGGUUUGGCGAAUCAGAGCGUCCGACACGAGGCUGGUGUGCGCGGCCGGCAGCAGGAACGGCACGGAGGAGACCAAACUGCUGGUUCUGGACUUUGACCUGGACGAGGGGAAGAAAGAGUCCGAGUGAAGCGGACAGCGUGAUGUCAUCAAAAGGGGACAGAAAAAUGUUCCCGCCAAGAGAACAAUGGGAGUUUUUUAAAAUGGACCAAAAGAGGUUGUUGAUUGGACGGUCCUCUAAUCGUCACAUAAACAGGAAUGGAUGUGAGACACGCCCUGAUGACAAAACAGUUCAAGGCUCAUAUGGACGCAGAACAAGAUGGCCGCCACAAUUCAGUUGGAAUGAUGUAAUCAAAAAGAAUCCUUCCAGCGGGGCGACGACUGAAUGUUUUUGGACUUUUUUUUAUGGACAGGAACGUGGAUGUAAAUUGUUUCUACGACAACAAAAGAAUGUUGACAAACAAACAAACAAACAAAC